UAGAACUGGUUCUUGCGAUUUUAAUGGU
rnacentral:sRNA from 1 species